GCCUGUGUAGCUCAGACGGGUAGAGCAUCAGACUUUUAAUCUGAGGGUCCAGGGUUCAAGUCCCUGUUGAGGCA